rnacentral:rRNA from 1 species
GGUCAAGCUACUAAGGGCAUACGGUGAAUGCCUUGGCACUUUGAGGCGAUGAAGGACGUGGAAAGCUGCGAUAAGCGACGGUUAGAAGCACUCAUUCGAUGAGCCGUCGAUUUCCGAAUGGGAGAACCCAGCAACCUCCGCCUGAAUAAAAUAGGGCGGUAGGGGCGAACUCGGGGAAGUGAACCAUCUCAGUACCCGAAGGAAAAGAAAACAACAGUGAUUCCGCUAGUAGCGGCGAGCGAACGCGGAACAGCCUAAACCAACAGGGCUUGCUCUGUUGGGGUCGUGGGACCAGACAUAACGGAAAGUAAGGGAUAGUGGAAUCAGCUGGAAAGCUGAACCAUAGGGCGUGAUAGUCGCGUACACGAAAUCUCCGACUUUUCAGUUUGGCACCCGAGUAGCGCGGGACACGAGGAAUCCUGUGUGAAUUUGCCGGGACCAUCCGGUAAGGCUAAAUACUCCAAAGUGACCGAUAGUGAACCAGUACCGUGAGGGAAAGGUGAAAAGUACCCCGGUUAGGGGAGUGAAAUAGUACCUGAAACCGUAUGCUUACAAGCAGUGGGAGGUCGAAAGACUGACCGCGUGCCUUUUGCAUAAUGAGCCGGCUAGUAAAUGUCACAGGCAAGGUUAAGCGUUAAGCGAGCCGAAGCGAAAGCGAGUCUUAAUAGGGCGAUUUUAGUCUGUGGUAUUUGGACGUGAAACGGGAUGAUCUAGGCUUGGGCAGGUUGAAGCGUGGGUAACACCACGUGGAGGACCGAACCAGUACAGGUUGAAAACUGUUUGGAUGACCUGAGCCUAGGGGUGAAAGGCUAAUCAAAUUCCGUGAUAGCUCGUUCUCGCCGAAAUAGCUUUAGGGCUAGCCUCUUUUGAAUCAUCGCGGUGGUAAAGUACUGAAUGGGCUAGGGGCCCCACAGGGUUACUGAACUCAAUCAAACUCUGAAUGCCGUGUAUGUAUGAAAGGGAGUCAGACUACGGGUGCUAAGAUCCGUGGUCGAAAGGGAAACAACCCAGACCAACAGCUAAGGUCCCUAAAUCAUAGUUAAGUGGUAAAGGAAGUGGGAAAGCACUGACAGCCAGGAGGUUUGCUUAGAAGCAGCAAUCCUUUAAAGAAAGCGUAACAGCUCACUGGUCAAGUAGUCCUGCACCGACAAUUUAACGGGGCUUAAACUAUGUACCGAAGCUUUGGAUACAAUGUAUGGUAGGCGAGCGUUCUGUAGCUGUAAAGCAUUUCCGAAAGGAGUGUUGGAGCGAUCAGAAAAGACUCUGUCGGCAUAAGUAGCGAUAACGUAUGUGAGAAACAUACGCACCGAAAACCUAAGGUUUCCUGCGUCAAGUUAAUCUGCGCAGGGUUAGUCGAUCCUAAGGCGAGCCCGAAAGGGGUAGUCGAUGGGAAUCCGGUUAAUAUUCCGGAACCGUUAGUGUGUGCUGUGGGAUACGCGGCAGGGUAGGCAAGACGGCUGAUGGAUGCCGUUGAACGAAAUAGCCCGUCACCCAGGCAAAUCCGGGUGGCAUCAGGGUAAAUACAGGGACGAAAGUACGGAGCUUGCUCUGGAACAAGUUGCUGACCCCAGCUGCCAAGAAAAGUCUCGUUCAGCUAUACACACGAUACGAUCGUACCGCAAACCGACUCAGGUAGGUGGGGUGAGAAUCCUAAGGUGCUUGUGAGAACCCUCGUUCAGGAACUCGGCAAAAUGUAACCGUAACUUCGGGAGAAGGUUAGCCUGGUUCACCAAGAACUGGGCCGCAGAGAAUUGUCCCAGGCGACUGUUUAGCAAAAACACAGGCCUCCGCAAAGUUGUGAAGACGACGUAUGGGGGCUGACGCCUGCCCAAUGCUGGAAGGUUAAAGGGAGUGGUUAGCUUCGGCGAAGCUGCGAACUGAAGCCCUAGUGAAUGGCGGCCGUAACUAUGAAUUUCUAGGACGGCAUUGGCUUGCCAAUGCGCAUUGUAGUUACGUAAAUAAACUUGGCUAUAUGCUGGAAUAUCCGGUUAGUAUCCGACGCUACUCGUUUCGAUUUUGGAAACAGUGACAAUGUGUUCGGUGCGGACGAUCAGCAGGAAAGACAUCCAUGGACGCAAGAAUCAAGAAGAUCCCCGGCGAUAUCGGGAAUUAUCUUGCGGGCUUUACGGACGGUGAAGGAAGCUUCAAUGUUUCAUUUCGUCCCAGGCCCGAUUAUUCGGUACCUUGGAAGGUCUCUUUAUGUUUCAACAUCUCGCAGAAAGACAAGGUGAUAUUGACCUUGUUCAAGAAGCAUAUGGGAUGUGGAACGCUCCGGAGCCGAAAGGACGGCGUAUGGUAUUACGAAGUGAACAACUUCAAUGCCAUCGUCCAAAACGUGAUCCCUUUCUUUGAAAGAUUCCGUUUCCUUUCCGCAAAGAAGAAGAGAGAUUUUUCGAAGUUCAAGCAGAUCGCUUCGAUGAUCAGAUCAAAGAAGCAUCUCUCGACUGAAGGUAUCAAAGAGAUUCUCGAGAUCAGAAAGGAAAUGAAUGACGGCGGGAAA